AUUAUUAAAUUUUAACCUUAGACUUUAUAUUCAAAUGGUUGAUAACAAAUGGUAAGGAUUGUGUCAGAUUUAAUAACAGUCAUUGAUUAAAUUUUAAUCUAACGGUGGAGAAUCAAUCUCAACCUCUCUCUUUUGUCCUUUAUGUGCACCGAGAGACGAUCCAAAAACUUGUUUUCUUCACACUUUUUUCAGAUUUAGAUCUCUAUCUUCUCAUCACACGUUUCUCUUUUCUUCUUUCUCUUCUCUACAUUUCUUCUCUGUCUACUGAUUUGUUUAUUUUUUUUCUCUGUUUUAUUUAAUGAAUCUCGUCUUCUUUCUAUCUCAUCUUCUUCUUUGUCUCUGCUGAAGCUUGCCGUGUGCCGUACUCAUUGUCACCACUCUAGUUCAUCACCUCUCUUUUCAGAAUUCAAGAUUAAAAGGUGUGGAGGAAGAAGUAAAGCUCGACGGUGGUGGGAUUUGAGAUAACCGGGGCUGGAUGGUGGAUGCAACGAUGGCCACGUGGGAAGAACCCUAAAAAUGGAGCGAAGCGCGUUAGAGAUGCUGGAGACUGGGCCGUCCAAGAAUAAAACCCAUAUAAACCGAAGCCCACCUAGACGUAAUGAAACGUGGCGUUUUAAAAUGGUGAGACACGUGUCGCAAGCACAGAAUUCGACUUUCUGAUGUGGAAUCCUAUGUGGCAUCACCAGGAGGGAGGCAAACAUUUUUUUAUAUAUAUAGAUUUUUCUUUCAUUUUCCUGUACACUAUUUUUAACAAUCAAUAUAAGCUUGCAAUCUUGCAUUCUUAUAAGAUGCUGAAUCUUGUUUUCAUUUUAUGAAGUGGUAGACAGAAAGAAACGUUCUCUCAAA